GUAUUUGAACCUUGGGCCUGGCUGGCCGGUCCGCCUCACCGCGUGUACUGGUCCGGCCGGGUCUUUCCCUCUGUGGAACUCCAUGCCCUUCACUGGGUGUGGCAGGGAAACAGGACUUUUACUUUGAAAAAAUUAGAGUGCUCCAGGCAGGCCUUUGCUCGAAUACAUUAGCAUGGAAUAAUAAAAUAGGACGUGUGGUUCUAUUUUGUUGGUUUCUAGGACCGCCGUAAUGAUUAAUAGGGACAGUCGGGGGCAUCAGUAUUCAAUAGUCAGAGGUGAAAUUCUUGGAUCUAUUGAAGACUAACUACUGCGAAAGCAUUUGCCAAGGAUGUUUUCAUUAAUCAGGAACGAAAGUUAGGGGAUCGAAGACGAUCAGAUACC
rnacentral:rRNA from 1 species